AGAAUGUGUGUUAGUGGUAUCGUGUGGAAAGGCGCGCGAUACAGGGUGACAGCCCAUUACACAAAAGCGCAUGUGCUGUGAGCUCGAUGAGUAGGGCGGGACACGUGGUAUCCUGUCUGAAUAUGGGGGGACCAUCCUCCAAGGCUAAAUACUCCUGACUGACCGAUAGUGAACCAGUACCGUGAGGGAAAGGCGAAAAGAACCCCGGCGAGGGGAGUGAAAAAGAACCUGAAACCGUGUACGUACAAGCAGUGGGAGC
rnacentral:rRNA from 1 species